rnacentral:piRNA from 1 species
GUCGGCGUGCGGCCAGAGAGUCACC